AUUUGAUAGGAGACAACGUGCGAACAGAGUGGUUUCAAGAUCGGCUGUCUCAUGGUAAAUAAUGUUGGUGCAUAAAUACAGGACGCCUGCAAUGCCAAAGGAAUGGUUGGCCGAAACCUAGGACAAGGAAGGCGACCAAUCACGCAGGCAUUACGGAGAGAGCAUGCACAAUUUAGUGUUCGUGCAAAUAAUUGGUGUAAAUAAAAAAGUUUUAGAUCCAUGUA